GAAAGCAUGGGGUGCAAACAUGAUUAGAUACUCUGGUAGUCCAUGCUGUAAAUGAUGAGUGUUCGCCCUUGGUCUACGCGGAUCAGGGGCCCAGCUAACGCGUGAAACACUC
rnacentral:ncRNA from 1 species